rnacentral:rRNA from 1 species
AUUGAACGCUGGCGGCAUGCUUUACACAUGCAAGUCGAACGGUAACAGGCCGCAAGGUGCUGACGAGUGGCGAACGGGUGAGUAAUGCAUCGGAACGUGCCCGGUCGUGGGGGAUAACGCAGCGAAAGCUGCGCUAAUACCGGAUACGAUCUGAGGAUGAAAGCGGGGGACCGUAAGGCCUCGCGCGAUCGGAGCGGCCGAUGUCAGAUUAGGUAGUUGGUGGGGUAAAGGCUCACCAAGCCAACGAUCUGUAGCUGGUCUGAGAGGACGACCAGCCACACUGGGACUGAGACACGGCCCAGACUCCUACGGGAGGCAGCAGUGGGGAAUUUUGGACAAUGGGCGAAAGCCUGAUCCAGCAAUGCCGCGUGCAGGAAGAAGGCCUUCGGGUUGUAAACUGCUUUUGCACGGAGCGAAAAGGUCUCCUCUAAUACAGGGGGCUCAUGACGGUACCGUAAGAAUAAGCACCGGCUAACUACGUGCCAGCCGCCGCAGUAA